UACGUAGGGGGCAAGCGUUGUCCGGAAUCACUGGGCGUAAAGGGCGCGUAGGCGGCGUUUUUAAGUCGGGGGUGAAAGCCUGUGGCUCAACCACAGAAUGGCCUCGAUACUGGGACGCUUGAGUAUGGUAGAGGUUGGUGGAACUGCGAGUGUAGAGGUGAAAUUCGUAGAUAUUCGCAAGAACACCGGUGGCGAAGGCGGCCAACUGGACCAUUACUGACGCUGAGGCGCGAAAGCGUGGGGAGCAAACAGG
rnacentral:rRNA from 1 species